GGCUGCUAGAGUUUUGGUUAAACUAAAACUUCUCAGUAAGACUUGGUCAUGUGUGAGUAGUAUUUGGGACUCUGUUAAGAGUCGCGCAGUUAUGGUACUGUUAAUGGUUCCUAGUCUUUAGGUUGUAAUGUCCUAUUUGUAAGGAUACUUUGUUUUACACGUUAUGUUAGUGGGUAGAGUUUGAUCUUGUUAGUUCUGGAGUGUUUGUAGCCUAUAAAGGCAACAUCUCUUGUUAAUGAAAAUUGUGAGAAUCAGCUAGUACGAUGUAACACUCUCUUCUUUUCCCCGUGUUCUUCCUCUCUGCUCUCUCAGGGUAGAGAGAGAGGUUUUAGAGAAAUCUCAUAGAGGAUACAUAGUUUAAUAGAGAGGGUGUUUUAGUUUGUUUCAUUGUCUCGUGAUUGAGUUUCUUUUGUGUUUCAAAAGAAGUUGAAGUCUGAUCCCUGAUGUUUCCGCUGGCGUUAUUUUUUGUAGAAGAUUUGAAGUAUCUUCUGCAAGGUUGCUGAUAAGUAUGAUGGUUUGAGCAAGAUGGCUGGUUAACUUGGUGGCAGUAUGGGUGGAUAUUGAAAAUAUGCUCAGAAGUUGUUCGGUGAAAGGCCUGUAUGAAAGAGGCUUGAAUUUCAGAAGUGCUAGUCAACUGUGAAGGUAAUCCUUUAAGUAAAGUAGGAUUAUUUGAUUUGGUUUCAUGUAAUAAUAGCAAGCAGGGAAAGAGCAGCAGCUCUAGAUUGUUAAAAGAAUGGUUUGGUGAUACAGUUGUACUAUCAUAGUAUGGCCAAAGUAAUGGUCUGUUGAUGUGGAGUUUGUCUCCAUGAAACCAUGAUGUGGGGUUUGUCUCCAUGAAUGAAACCGGAGGUGAUACAGUUUGAGCAAGCCGAAUAAAGCUUAAAGCUAAGUUAAAGAAAAGCUCUGUUUUUCAGUAAAUGUUAAUAGUUUGUUAUGGUCAUCAGUGGUAUUUGUUUUUAAUUGCAUGGGUCAGUAGUUAAAUUUUUUUGUAACUUGUUUGUUUUGAGUCACGUGAUGUAUGAGAUGUCUUACGUUGUCCCUGUACGUGAGUUUUAUAACUCAAUAAAAAAGGAUGUGGAUGGUGAAGAUAGCAGCAGUACCCAUAACAAGGAGAUGUCUAAAAUUGCUUGGUUUUUGGAUGUAUGACAAAAGUAGCCGUGGAGGUUCUAAGUUGCAGCAAGAGAUAUGAUAUGAUAUGUCUGGGAAGUCAUAGAUACCUACAAGUGUAGUAGGUUGGCCACGAGUAAAGCGAAGUUAUGAUAAGAUAUGUUGGGGAAUUCAUACGGUAUCUACAAGUUUAGUAGGUAGGUCUGAAAAAUGAAAUGGAAUUAGCACGGGAUAUGCCGGUGAAGGCAUAAGGUGGUACUCAACGUUUUUUUUAUCGCAGUUUGAGUUUAAGGGAGGCUGCUAGAGUUUUGGUUAAACUAAAACUUCUCAGUAAGACUUGGUCAUGUGUGAGUAGUAUUUGGGACUCUGUUAAGAGUCGCGCAGUUAUGGUACUGUUAAUGGUUCCUAGUCUUUAGGUUGUAAUGUCCUAUUUGUAAGGAUACUUUGUUUUACACGUUAUGUUAGUGGGUAGAGUUUGAUCUUGUUAGUUCUGGAGUGUUUGUAGCCUAUAAAGGCAACAUCUCUUGUUAAUGAAAAUUGUGAGAAUCAGCUAGUACGAUGUAACACUCUCUUCUUUUCCCCGUGUUCUUCCUCUCUGCUCUCUCUCUAUACCUUGAUUUUCAUCAUGGUAUCAGAGCUAGGGUAGAGAGAGAGGUUUUAGAGAAAUCUCAUAGAGGAUACAUAGUUUAAUAGAGAGGGUGUUUUAGUUUGUUUCAUUGUCUCGUGAUUGAGUUUCUUUUGUGUUUCAAAAGAAGUUGAAGUCUGAUCCCUGAUGUUUCCGCUGGCGUUAUUUUUUGUAGAAGAUUUGAAGUAUCUUCUGCAAGGUUGCUGAUAAGUAUGAUGGUUUGAGCAAGAUGGCUGGUUAACUUGGUGGCAGUAUGGGUGGAUAUUGAAAAUAUGCUCAGAAGUUGUUCGGUGAAAGGCCUGUAUGAAAGAGGCUUGAAUUUCAGAAGUGCUAGUCAACUGUGAAGGUAAUCCUUUAAGUAAAGUAGGAUUAUUUGAUUUGGUUUCAUGUAAUAAUAGCAAGCAGGGAAAGAGCAGCAGCUCUAGAUUGUUAAAAGAAUGGUUUGGUGAUACAGUUGUACUAUCAUAGUAUGGCCAAAGUAAUGGUCUGUUGAUGUGGAGUUUGUCUCCAUGAAACCAUGAUGUGGGGUUUGUCUCCAUGAAUGAAACCGGAGGUGAUACAGUUUGAGCAAGCCGAAUAAAGCUUAAAGCUAAGUUAAAGAAAAGCUCUGUUUUUCAGUAAAUGUUAAUAGUUUGUUAUGGUCAUCAGUGGUAUUUGUUUUUAAUUGCAUGGGUCAGUAGUUAAAUUUUUUUGUAACUUGUUUGUUUUGAGUCACGUGAUGUAUGAGAUGUCUUACGUUGUCCCUGUACGUGAGUUUUAUAACUCAAUAAAAAAGGAUGUGGAUGGUGAAGAUAGCAGCAGUACCCAUAACAAGGAGAUGUCUAAAAUUGCUUGGUUUUUGGAUGUAUGACAAAAGUAGCCGUGGAGGUUCUAAGUUGCAGCAAGAGAUAUGAUAUGAUAUGUCUGGGAAGUCAUAGAUACCUACAAGUGUAGUAGGUUGGCCACGAGUAAAGCGAAGUUAUGAUAAGAUAUGUUGGGGAAUUCAUACGGUAUCUACAAGUUUAGUAGGUAGGUCUGAAAAAUGAAAUGGAAUUAGCACGGGAUAUGCCGGUGAAGGCAUAAGGUGGUACUCAACGUUUUGCUAUCGCAGUUUGAGUUUAAGGGAGGCUGUUAGAGUUUUGGUUCAACUAAAACUGCUCAGUAAGACUUGGUCAUGUGUGAGUAGUAUUUGGGACUCUGUUAAGAGUCGUGCAGUUAUGGUACUGUUAAUGGUUCCUAGUCUUUCGGUUGUAAUGUCCUAUUUGUAAGGACACUUUGUUUUACACGUUAUGUUCGUGGGUAGAGUUUGAUCGUGUUAGUUCCGGAGUGUUUGUAGCCUAUAAAGACAACAUUUCUUGUUAA